UACGGAGGGUGCAAACGUUGCUCGGAAUCAUUGGGCGUAAAGCGCACGUAGGCGGCUUGCCAAGUCGGACGUGAAAUCCCUCAGCUCAACUGAGGACGUGCAUCCGAAACUGGCGAGCUUGAGUGCUGAAGAGGAUCGCGGAAUUCCCGGUGUAGAGGUGAAAUUCGUAGAUAUCGGGAGGAACACCAGUGGCGAAGGCGGCGAUCUGGGCAGACACUGACGCUGAGGUGCGAAAGCGUGGGGAGCAAACAGG
rnacentral:rRNA from 1 species